rnacentral:rRNA from 1 species
GAAUUCGCCCUUAGAGUUUGAUCCUGGCUCAGGAUGAACGCUGGCGGCGUGCCUAAGACAUGCAAGUCGGACGGGUGGAGGUCAUUGGACCUGCACCAGUGGCGGACGGCUGAGUAACACGUAGGGAACCUGCCCACGUGUGGGGGAUAGCCCAUCGAAAGGUGGGGUAAGACCGCAUACGCUCGUACAGGGGGGUGCUGUACGAGGAAAGCCUGGUUGGGCGCACGUGGAGGGGCCUGCGGCCCAUCAGCUAGUUGGUAGGGUAAAGGCCUACCAAGGCGGUGACGGGUAGCUGGUCUGAGAGGAUGGCCAGCCAGACCGGGACUGAGACACGGCCCGGACUCUUACGGGAGGCAGCAGUCGGGGAUCUUGGGCAAUGGGCGCAAGCCUGACCCAGCGACGCCGCGUGGGGGAGGAAGGCCUUCGGGUCGUAAACCCCUGUUGCCGAGGACGAAGGGGUGACGGUACUCGGCGAGGAAGCCCCGGCUAACUCCGUGCCAGCAGCCGCGGUAAGACGGAGGGGGCGAGCGUUAUCCGGAAUCACUGGGCGUAAAGGGCGCGUAGGCGGCUUCGCAAGUCUGGCGUGAAAGCCCGCGACUCAAUCGUGGGGGGUCGCUGGAGACUGCGGAGCUAGAGGGCAGCAGAGGUCGGUGGAAUUCCGGGUGGAGCGGUGAAAUGCGUAGAGAUCCGGAGGAACACCGGUGGCGAAGGCGGCCGGCUGGGCUGGUCCUGACGCUGAGGCGCGAAAGCGUGGGGAGCGAACCGGAUUAGAUACCCGGGUAGUCCACGCCCUAAACGAUGGAUGCUAGGUGCGGGGUGGUAUCGACCCCAUUCCGUGCCCGAGCCAACGCGGUAAGCAUCCCGCCUGGGGAGUACGGUCGCAAGGCUAAAACUUAAAGGAAUUGACGGAAGGGCGAAUUC